UACGGAGGGUGCGAGCGUUAUCCGGAUUCACUGGGUUUAAAGGGUGCGUAGGUGGGGAUGUAAGUCAGUGGUGAAAUCUCCGUGCUUAACACGGAAACUGCCAUUGAUACUAUGUUUCUUGAAUUAUCUGGAGGUCAGCGGAAUAUGUCAUGUAGCGGUGAAAUGCUUAGAUAUGACAUAGAACACCAAUUGCGAAGGCAGCUGGCUACAGGUGGAUUGACACUGAGGCACGAAAGCGUGGGGAUCAAACAGG
rnacentral:rRNA from 1 species